UUUUUAUAAGUAUAUUAAGUUAUUAUAUUAUGUAAUGUAUUUUAUAUAUGUAUAUAUUAAUCAUUUCUAAAAAACUCACCUUCAUCAUUUAUACUUUGUUUUAAAUAUUUUAUUAAAUACUUCAUCUUUUUUUUAAAUUUUUCUUUUUGUAUUUUUUUCUUAUCUUUAUUUUUGAUUUGUAUGUUCGUAAUUUGGUAUCUUAUUGUAUUUACUAAAUAUUAUUUUAAAAUGGUAACAAUAUCUCACCACCUAUUUAUUAUUUUUAUAUUUAUUGCUUACCACAUUUGCAUAAAAAUUGAUUACUUAUGUUGUUUUAAGUUAUAUUUUUAUAGAAUAUUGUUAUACAUUAUGAAAUUUAUAUAUUGCUAGAUUCAUUUCCUUCUAUGUUAUAUUUUGUCUGAAAUAUUAUUAUGUAUUACGUAAUCUAUAUUGUUAUUUUCAUUAUAUUCUAUGAUUAUAACUGUAUAAAAAGAUAACGUAUAUUGCGUAAUUUAUGCCAUUAUUCAUCAUAUUUUAUAUUAUAUUUGCAUGAAAUGUUAAAAUAUGUAUUAUGUAGGUUAAUUUACUUAAUAUUGAUCCUUUGUAAUAUGAUGCAUCAUCAUUUUAAAGAACUUUUGUAUUCCAUUCGAUCCGAAAAGAUUUUUUUAGGCAAUGUUUUUGGUAGUUAGGGAUUCGGGAAGUAGUGCCCUAACAUGCGGGGUUGCAAUUUCCUGUUUGUCUAAAUGCCUAAAACACCCUUCUAAACGAUUUUAUAAAUUACGAGGUGAUUUCAGUUACAAGAGUAUUAGCAUAUUGUGUCCUAUCAUGCUGGAUGUGAUAUUCGUAUUCUUUUGGAAUGAAGAAAUCUCGAUUCUAAACUCGAGCUAUUUUAAUUUCAAAAGGGAUCAUAUUUUUAAAUACUUUCAAAAUUCUAGCAUCAAAGACAGAAAGUUAUUCAAUUUGGUACCAAUUUUUUGGGCGUUACGAGGGUGCUAACCCUUCCUUGUACGUAACCGACUUCCGAACCUAUUUUCUCGUAAUUUCGUAGACCAAAACAUUUUAUAAAGUGAUCCAAUCACACUUUAAAAGAUUGGUGGCGACUCCCAUUUUUAUUUUUUUUAAAUAAAUAAAAACUCAUUUUUUAAACAGGUUUCGACAGCGCCGUUUCAAACUUUGUACAAAAUCUAGCCUAAAACCCUAAAAUAAUACCUUCAGCCACUUCAACAAAUCAGAAUAAAGGAAAAAAAACUAAAACCUCUCCUUAUUCACUUGGCUGAACCAGAGGCAUCCCUCAGCCUCCACUUCGUCUCCAUAUCAUCAAAUCGGAUCUACUAAUCCCCAUCAAAGCUUCGAUUUCAACGAAGCAAACAAGGAUUCAAAGGCUCCUUCAAACAGAUAAGUGUUUAUGCCUUUAUUUAUUUUGUAUUUUUACAUACAAUAAUGAAGAUCAAAGAAAAAAAUAUAAGCCAAAAUCGAAAGAAAAAUGAGAACUCAAAUCACCUUUUCCAAGCUGUUUUUUUCUAUUCAAACUUUUUGUACAGAUUUGUAUGCGUAAAAAAAUUCCCCCCAAUACACUGUUGCACUUGGCUUUUUAUAGCCAAAAAUGAAAAAAAUUAAAUACACGUUUUCUACUUUCUUCUUUGCUGUAUUCUGUUGUGGUUUGUUAACUUGCUGCAGGAGGAUCCAGCUAGAGGUGGUGGAGCACGUAGAGCGUGAAGCAACGACUCGCGUGGAAGCUGGCACAAAGGCAGUAGCGGCGCAAGGGAAAAAAACCCUAGGGUUCUAAAAGUUUCAAUUUUCCCCGGCCAUUUAGGCUAUUUUAAGAUUGGGCCUUAUUGUAAAAUGAGUUUAAAAUUUGGGCUUAAAUUUGUUUGUGGGUUAAAUGUAAACUUGGUAUUUAUAGACUGUGGACUAUAUUUUAUUUUUAUUUGGUUUAUUUAUUUGUUUGUAAAUAAAUUUAAAGGCCUGGGCAAAAUGGGCCUUCUACAAUAGAAAUAUAAGAAUAAUAGAAAUAUAAAUAGAUAAAUAAUAAUAGUAUUUGAAUAAGAAAAUUUAUGGAAAUAUAAUAAUAAUAUUAAUAAUAUAUUAAAUUUUUUAAUUUAAUAAUAACGUAGCGAAAAUAACAAAAAGAAGACUAAUUUGAACUUUAAAACAAAAUUUUGGGGCGAUAUCAGAGAUAAAUAAAAGAAAAGGAACCAAUUUGAACGCGCGAAUAACAAGGAGGGAUCAAAAGGGUAAUAGUCGCCGCCCUCCAA
rnacentral:lncRNA from 1 species